rnacentral:rRNA from 1 species
UACGUAGGGUGCAAGCGUUAAUCGGAAUUACUGGGCGUAAAGCGUGCGCAGGCGGUUUUGUAAGUUUGGCGUGAAAUCCCCGGGCUCAACCUGGGAAUGGCGAUGAAGACUGCAAGGCUAGAGUUUGGCAGAGGGGGGUAGAAUUCCACGUGUAGCAGUGAAAUGCGUAGAUAUGUGGAGGAACACCGAUGGCGAAGGCAGCCCCCUGGGUCAAAACUGACGCUCAUGCACGAAAGCGUGGGGAGCAAACAGG